GAUGAACGCUAGCGACAGGCUUAACACAUGCAAGUCGAGGGGCAGCAUAGAAGUAGCAAUACUUUGGUGGCGACCGGCGCACGGGUGAGUAACGCGUAUGCAACCUACCUAUCAGAGGGGAAUAACCCGGCGAAAGUCGGACUAAUACCGCAUAAAACAGGGGCACCGCAUGGUGAUAUUUGUUAAAGAAAUUCGCUGAUAGAUGGGCAUGCGUUCCAUUAGGUAGUUGGUGAGGUAACGGCUCACCAAGCCGACGAUGGAUAGGGGCACUGAGAGGUUGGUCCCCCACACUGGUACUGAGACACGGACCAGACUCCUACGGGAGGCAGCAGUGAGGAAUAUUGGUCAAUGGGCGGGAGCCUGAACCAGCCAAGUCGCGUGAAGGAAGAAGGAUCUAUGGUUCGUAAACUUCUUUUGCAGGGGAAUAAAGUGCGGGACGUGUCCUGUUUUGUAUGUACCCUGAGAAUAAGGAUCGGCUAACUCCGUGCCAGCAGCCGCAGUAAUAC
rnacentral:rRNA from 1 species